ensembl:lncRNA
CGUUUUUUUGCAGAUUGUUCUUGGAGAGCUUCAGUGCUCAGUACUUAGUAUAAUAAAUAAGAUGGGCCCUUAGGGCAUAAUAAUUAACCUAACAAAUGUUUAAGAAAGAUUUUUAACAAGUAAGAGCAGGUCUUGUCACUUCAAUGGUGUAAGAGAUUAUUCUUUUGCACUAUUGUCUCAAAGUUUGCUGAGGAACACUGAUGGACACAUCCUGGGCAAGGGCUGAGAAAUCUUUUGUCUGAAGGACACAGACGGUAAAGUCCGGACAAGUCCUUGUCAAAGUUGGCGAAAUCUUUUGUCUGAAGAUUUUACAAGCCAGGGGCAACGAGAGAGAGAUAAAUCGCAGCUUAAUGGCCGGGAAGCAGUCUUUUGUGUGGGUUUAUCUCGAGGGAGAUAGCCAUCUCGGGGGGGUACUGCACAUGGCUCUUACCCAAGCUUCUGCCACACUGGCAGAAGAAGAAGGAUAAAAAGGGGGCCAACAACCAAGAGAUUAGGUGUCAGACAUCAGAAGCCUUACGAGCUGAUGCCUGAAAGCUGAAGGACUCUCUUCUGGACCUGCUACCUGAGAUCUGCUGCUUCCUCCUGGACUUACCCAGCUGCUUGUUCCUGGCACCUGCUUGCAGCUUAAAGCCUGUCACGCUGCUGCUGCUCUCCCCCUGCGCUUUUGCCUCGGACAAUCGGAACAACAUACAACGGGACGCUGCUGGAUCUUGGUGCCUUCGAACUUCUUCCCCACAUGUCCCAGAAGAGGGAAGCGUGGUGCGAGGGGAAGCCCUGUCACUGUUGAUAUAAUCAAGUAAACAGCAACAAUGUGAUAAUACAAGAGAAAUGCAGAGGACUGGUAUUUUGUUUAGUGUCAGUGUGAGGACAAUGUUGGUAAUCUCUUUCAAAUUCUUUUCAAUAAAAACAAUCAACUAUUUGCAGGAAUAUUUGCCCUCUUGAUUUAGUGCAUGGUUCCCAGCUUAGAAUGCAGUUACAAAAUAUCUCUUUAAAAAAUAAUUCUUUAACAUCUGUAUUUUUAUAUGUAGUUGUUCUGAGUUUUAAAAUAUGUUCUGAUAAAGGAUCAUCCAGAUAUCUCUAAUAUCUGGUGACAAAAUUUUGUGCCAUAGCAUCAGUCAAAAUGAGACUCAGUCAAAACGUGACUCAGACAAAAUGUUUUGGUGUUGUAUCUACCAUAACACUGAUGAUAGAUGAGAAUUUUCUGUAUUUUGUCAUAUGGGCACAUAAAUCAUAAAAUAUGUCUUUAUACAUAUCAUGUUAUUUAGUGCACAUUUUCACCAACUACACCACAUGAUGCAAAGACGUUGAUACCAUACAUUUUCUGCAUUCUGUAGGCAUGGAGGAGUAUAAGAAGUUUGAUAGACAGCUAAGGAACAGGAGUCUCCUACAUCAGGAAGGAUACACACCUUGUAUACCAUCAUUUUUAGCACAUAUAUCUUCCUUAUAAGACAUGCACUCUAAAAAUUUGAAAUUUUGGCUUUGAUUCAGCAGUCAUUUGCUACUGACAGGGAUCUUGAACAAUACACCAGUCAACAAGUAGCAAUUCAAGUGCCCAGAAAUCUUAGACUGUGGGUAAUUUUACCAAUAAGUAAGCGAUGAUUUUAAAAAGCUAGAAGGAGACUUGGUAAUUCCCAAUACAUGUGAUGAUCUGAGCCUUAUGACUAGUCUUAUGUUAGCUUACAGUGAAGGAGAGAUUUCCCAGAGGUUUAUUGUUGUGGUUUAACCCAGCAGGUGGCUGAGCUUCAUGCAGUUGCUUGCUCACUCACUCCCCCUUUCCAAGUGGAAUGGGGGAGAGAAUCAGGAAAAAAAAAAAAAAAAAAAAAAAAAAGUAGAACUUAGUACAAAAAAAAGUAGAAUAAUGUACAGUACAGCUAAUUUUCAGAUGUCUGCUAACAUUUAAUUUAAAGCUUCACCAUUACUUUGUUUUUAUACAUCUUGUGUAAUCAUUUGACAAUUUUUUGAAAUGGUAGAUUAAUAUUAGUACGAAUGAGCUAGCAAGCUGUCCAAGGGUAAGUAGAAAGCAGAGGAAUGAGAAAGCCUGCUUAUGAAUAGUAAGCAAAAUAAAAACAAGUCAUGGUAAAGGAUUUAUUUAUUUUUUUUCUUUAAUAUUGCAUUGUAUAUAUUAACUGUGAAGCAAAUGACUGGAAAACAACAGUGAGCUAUUCAUGGUAUCAUGCUAAACUAUGGUAAAAAAUAAGCAUGUUUCCUAUUUAAAUGUUGAAGGUUUGAACAUUAUCUUUUAUUCUUCUCUGCGGUGGCAUGCAGAUCAAAAGAUGACAGUCACGUAGUAAAAUGCAUAUUUAUUAAUUUACAUUGUAGUAAUUUAAGCAAUUGUCGAAUAAUUUAGAUGUCUUGCAUAUAUUUACCUUCAUAACUGGGUUCUGAAAAUAAGAAGGCUAUAUUUGAACAGACUAUCAUGAAUGUGAAAAUAUAUUCCCAAAAAUAAGCAAAUUCAAGAAGAUUAUAUUGGUUUUGGUUUGCUUUGUUGUUUUAUUAUUUUAUCUUACUUUUUAAUUCAUCCUACCCGCAUAAGUGCCUAAGGAGAAUAUGCAGAGUCAUGUGCACUCCCUAACAGAUGCCUCCUAUUUUAAACACCACUGCCUAAUUAGAUGAGAACUGCACAAGGCAAAAUAGCAGAACCUGCAAGCAGAAUGAGGAACAUGUGGGAUUUACAUUUUUCAUUAGUCCAAAUCUGCACAUCCACUAACUCAAACAUUUUUGACCACAAGAUUAAAAAUCAGAAAAAUAUGAAAGAGUUAAGAGUUAGCAAAGGUAUCAGAGAUGAAUAUGAGGGCCUCAUCAGAGGCUGCCCAUUCCUAUUUCAGUUCUUUCUGCAGGUUGCUCUAAAUGCAUCUUGCUUGGUUCCCGACAGUGUUGUUCUCACUGAUGGAGAGUGAAGCCAGAAAGAAUAACCCUAAGGACAGGUGCUGUGACUUACCCUCCUGGAAGUGCUUUUUGCUUGAGGGAUCCUGGCUGCUAGUACUUUCCUCCUCGUUUCUCUCUCCUGCACCAAUGGAGAGCGAAAAGAAGACCACAGAACCAUAACUGCCAGCCAUCUGCUUUCUCUGUGGACUAGAAAUAAGCAUCAAAAAAUCAGAAAUAAUUAACCCCCAUUAUGACUUGAUCUAUUAGAAAUGUUACACUCUGAUUAUGUAGAGAAUGCAAAGAUUAUGUAAAGAUAGUGAGAAAAAGGGAUAGUUAUUAUUUAACAUUCCAAUUUUCCCAGUGAAAAGGAAGCAGAAAAUAUAAAGAAAAAAUAGAUAUUCUAAGCAAAAUCAGGAGUUCUACAAAUGAAUACUCUAUCAUCCACUCCAAUUUCUCCCAGUGUUGUUAAUGUUUUUUACAUUAACUCUAUUAUGUCAUGUACAUUCACUCUAUAAACUACAAAAGCUAUAAGCUGAGGAUUCUUUUUUUCUUAUUAUUAUCAUGGACACUUCGUAGCCAAUAGUAUUCAUCCAGAACAUUUCAAAAUAAUGGAUAAUGCAGGAAGACAGUAGAAGGGAAGCUUUUAGCACACACGUCAACAAAAUGCACAAUGUUGACUAACAAAUCAUUAGGGGCAAUUUAUGACUACAAAAAAAAAAAAGGCAGAAAUAUUAAAAAAAAAGAAAAAAUGAUAAUAUUUCAGACAAUAAAGUACUAGAAAAUAGAAUAAACUUUUGCUGGAAAUUAAAUAUCACUAUGAUGGGUGGAUGAGAUUUUUUAGAGAAAAAGAUUUUAAUGACAAAAUAAUGUUUGUAAAUAAAAUUGUCUGAAUAUAGUGUCAAAUUAAUUUGGUUAUCUUCAAGAAAACUAAUCACUUCAAAAUUUGCCCCUAUAUAUCUAUGCAAAAUAAAUCUUACCCUCAGCACCCCUCCUUCAAUCUUGGCCAUGUAGAAGUCACUUUGAAGGACCCCCUAAAUUUAUCAACACUUGCUGAGCAUUUAUAGAGACCAAACAAUUGAUAUUAGCACAAUAACACAGUGGGUGGUGUGUUUCAGCAGUGCCAACAGUGAUAAUGGGUCACUUCCAUUGCUGUAGAUAUUUAGGAGUGUAUCAUGCAGCUCAUUGCUGGCAAAAAAAAAAAAAAAAAAAAAAUGCACAGCUAAUCGUGGUGACUGUAUAUAAAAAUAGUGUUUUGUGGCUGAGAAUUUUCUCUAUCAAUAGUGUUAUUACAAGCUUUGAAUCUGUUGUAGUUUCCAUGGAAAUACAUAGGAGGCAUUACUUUUGAAGCAACCUACAUACUUCUGGAAACAUUUUAGGCUAACCAAUAAUUUUACCUAUUUUUAUGUAUAUAUACAAACAUAUAAGUAUUCACACACCUACUUCAAACAUCUUGCUAUCUUCACAAUUGUUACCCUUUGUAUUUCACAUUUUCUUUCACAGCCUUCAGUUUUCUUAUUUCCUUCAUUCUAGAAGAAUAUUGUUUUCUCUUUUAAUUUUUAAUACUUUCACUGCUUAUAAAAUGUUACAUCAAAGUUCAGUGUCUGGAUUCAAAAUGUACACCUGUAUAAGUAAAAUAGUAUAAGGGCAUUAACCUGACCACUGGCCUGUGGCAGUCCACAGAGUUACCAUUAACAGAUGUCAUCUAGCACUCUCUGAGUAUUCUCUGAGUGUAGUCCAAGGAACAAAGGCAUCAGCAACAGAUCUUUUCUAUUUUCUGUUUUAUAUGUAGUCACCCUAUUCCAGAAGAGAAAAAGAGUGUAAUGGACAAGGAGACUGUUCCCCCUCUGAUGAAAGGUAAUGGGGAGCUGGCUUCCUCAGACAUAGAAAAAGCUGAGGCACUCAAUGAGUUCUUCUCCUCAGUCUUCAUGGGUGGUCAGGCUUCCUGUGUCUGCUAGGACCAUGAGCCUCUAGGUGAGGGUAUGGGGGGUGGUUUUUGUUGCACUGUAACGGUGGAACAAGUCCGAGUCCUCCUCAUGAAUCUGAAUGUGUAUGGCCAUACAUACUGGGGCCCCCAGUGCAGGAAGGACAUGGAGCUCUUGGAGCGGGUCCAGAGGAGGGCCACUAAGAUGAUCAGAGGGCUGGAUCUCCUCUCCUGUGAAGAAAGGCUGAGGGAACUGGGCUUGUUCAGCUUGGAGAAGAGAAGGCUCUGGGGAGACCUCCUUAUGGCCUUUCAGUACUUGAAGGGAGUGUAUAAACAGGAAGGGGAAUGACUGUUUACUAGGGUGGAUAGUGAUAGGACAAGGGGGAAAGGUUUUAAACUGGGACAGGGGAGGUUUAGAUUAGAUAUUAGGAGGAAGUUUUUCACUCAGAGGGUGGUGACACACUGGAACAGGUUGCCCAAGGAGGUUGUGGAUGCUCCAUCUCUGGAUGCAAUGAACACUAGUCUGGAUGUGGCUCUGGGCACCUGGUCUGGUGGUUGGCAACUCUGCACAUAGCAGGGGGGUUGAAGCUAGAUGAUCAUUGUGGUCCUUUUCAACUCAGGCCAUUCUGUGAUUCUAUGAUUCUAUGGUAUCAGUCAUGCCUUGCCAAGUGGUAGGGAUUAUCAAUACCAUAGUUUUGUAAUAAAUUGGACUCUGUAGAUAUUAAGUGAGUUUGUAAAAAAAAAGAUGAGGAAGUACUGAAAUUGGCCUAAAAAUAGAAGAAGAAUGUUUGUUUGUUUGUUUUUUAAUUGAAAUAUAUUUUUGAUUCAUAUUUUUGACUUAUAUUUUUUGCUCAUGUAACACCCAUACUGUAUGGUAAAUUUCUCCUCCAUUAGAAAUCUACGUUAAAAAAAAAAGAAAGACUUUCAGAAGUAGGACUUGGAGGAUUAUACACAAUUUCAGGAUAACAAGGACUGCUGUUGUUUAAACAAGAAGCAAAAGAAACAACGGGAUGCCUACUGAACUCAAAACACUGAUGAAAUUUCCAUGAGAAUGGCCAACUUUGAGGAUUAAAUGGCAGCUAAUGUAACCUUAUUUUAAAAAGUUCUGUUUUGUUUUGUUUUAUUUUGUUUCCACUUUGAGUCUAUGAGACCUUGAAAUGUCAAGUUUACUCUUAUUAGUGUGUUGAUGUCAGUUAUGUUAGUGUGAUUGUAUAUGUAUUUCAGAGUAUGAUAGUUUUCUUCAAAAGAUUGUAAAGGAGAAAAAUAUAACAGAAACCACAAUUUAAUUCACUUUAUUAUAUGUAAAUAUAAGUAUUUUGUAGUAAUUAAUCUGAUACAGUAACUCAUCAUUAACUAUUGGGUAUGUGGUAGAUUUCCACAGAGAUUCAAGCAUUUUUUCUUGACGUUGCUACCAAACUCAAAAAUUAUACAAAAUCCUACUGAUUUUGUUCUAUCUAGAUUCCAACUAACUUAUUCCUAAUAUAAAUAAACAAAUAAAACAAACAGACAAAAAAAGCAACCCAAAGCCCCCAGAAUCCUAUAUGGCUUUUUAAAAUGUUUAUUUUAAAAAAAGAUUGAUUAAUCUUACCUGACAUUUUUUUAGCACAGAAGCUUCUAAAUAUAAUCAAGAGCACAAUGAGAACAAAUGUACUGUUAUAAAUUUGUACAUUAGUUUUUAAUGGAUUGUUCUCAUAAAUAUUUGGUGCAAUAAAAGAUCACAUAUUACUGAACAUUCUGUGCUUUUUUUUUUUUCAGAUUUGUUUGGUUAAAAUGAGGUCAAAGAGUAAAUUUGUUAACCUUCUAACAGCAUGCUUUUGACUAUUGAAUAUUAUUUGGAUCAUUGUCUUCUAUUUUAUUUUAUUAAGUACUUGCAGAAAUGCGUCCAGUUUUUCUUAUGAAACAGUACCCAACUUUGAUACCUGACAUGGUUAAGAUCAAUAUUUUCAGUAUAAAAGUAAUACAUGUGUAAAAUUGUAACAUUGAUGAAGAACAGCAGAAUAUGAACAAUGACACAUUGAGUUUUCAUUUGCAAUUCCUCAAAUUGUAAGUAUGUGAUAGUUAUUAUUUGUUCAUAAGUUCUGAAGAAUACUAAAGAUUUCACCUUCCUGAGUGAUGUAUUUUAUCCUGUAACUUUUUUUAAGUAGUUACAUAACAAAAUCACCUAAAAACUAGGUAUUUCCAAAAUGCAAGAAGCGAGUGCUGAUAUUUACAAAAGGAUUUAUUAGCAUGCUGCAAAAGAUUGAGACAAGUGAGCAGCUCAUUACUGAUUUAGUAAGAGAGAAUGACCGUACUUGAUGACCUUGCUAGCUUGUCUUUACCUAUGUAUCUUUUCUUACAUGUGAAACAGAUAAAUGUGAGAAAUGCCAUUUCAUGGACACAUAAGCAUAAUUGUUCUUACUUUUAGUCUUAAUGUGCCCAACAAUCUCCUUUCUACCUUCUCCUCAUGGGACUUUGGUAGAGAAAAAUGUCACUGAACAAGAAGAAAUAAACAAUAAUGCAAAGUUCUAGUUAAAAAAAAAGGAUGGGUUAUCAGAAAUGGUCAAUAAAGAUAUUCUUCCUGUACUAAGGAAUGCAGUUAUAUCAGUUAGAAGUGUUAUUACAGAAAUCCUUAUCAAUAUGACUUAAUAAAGACUCCUGUUAGGAAAGGGAAUGACUUGAAGGGAUUCAGCAGAGUUACCUGGAUAAGACAGUAUUAAUCUGUAAAGAAAUUUUCAAGAAUAGUGCAGAGGUUUUAUGAGUAUCUUAUAAAGAUGAAUCACUCUUUGUCUUUAAUUUAGGAUAGCUCCCUAUAUGUCACUAUCUGUUAGAACAUCAUGUCCAUUUUACAUUUGUAUUAUUUUCCUUUCUGCUUUAUGCUUGUCAGCACCUUGACAACACUAUCAGUCCCUACUGUUCCUGCCCAUCUCAGCCUUCCUCCAGCCUAAUAGUUGUCCAGACACUCCAUUUCUUCUGUCUAGGGCUCUCCUGCCCCAGCAAUGCCAUAGAAGGAACAGUCUGCAAGUAGCUUGUCUCUUACCCCAUCUCCUUUCGUUUCUUACUAGACAUACCAGCUCCAGUCUUGUCCCAUUUGGAGCACACUUAUUCUUGCUUCUCCCUGGUAAAUCUCCUAGCCCCAUCUCUUUACUACAGUAAUAAGGGUGUGAUUAGGUGUAUUCUGCCUUUGUAUUAUUUUUUUGACAAAUAAGAUAUUAUCCAGGAAAAAUAACUCUUACUCAACAUGUCUAUGCUGACAUAUUUGAUCAUUUUUAUGGUUUUAUUACUUUAAUUUACUUGUGUCCUGUCAACACUCCCAGAGGCACCCAAAAUGUGUAGAAAAAUACUUAAUACAAGCUUUAAUUUGAUAUUGUUUCUGUUACAAAAUAAAUCUUUUAUUUGUUCACAUUUUUUUUCUUUUUUAUUGUUUUAAUGGAAAGUGAAGCUUUUUGUGGAGAAUGUGUUUUAGGUUAAAUGCUGCUUGUGCAUUAUAUUCUUCUUUUAACUUUUUAACUUAAAAACGAUUCACUACGUAUUUAAAUUUUUUUCUUCAGACUAUGCACAUUUUAUAUUAAAAUAAUAGUUUACUGAUUCCAGUGCAGAGCAUUAGGGGACUACAGAUAUCUUUAUUAGAUUGUGUUAGGACAACAGAGUAUCCAUGGCAUGUCAACCAUUAAUAAGAAAUAAAUGUGUUUCAUAUCUCUAAGUGUAACAAUUUACUCUAUCAACUUUGUAGUUGAGUGAUUAUGUAUUUCUCUGGAAAUUUCAAUGCUGUUUUCUGAAAAACUACUGUCAAAAACACAACCUCUGUGAUACUGUCAGCAUGAAGAAACCUCUUUAUAUUUUACUUGAGAAGGUUCUCCUUAUGAAUUCUUUAAAGAGAAACAUAACCUUUUUAGCUGUGAAUAAUUAAAAGUUAUGAUAAAUCUAUUUAGGAAGCAUUCAAGGUAAUGGAUUUUCAGACAGGAGAGUAUUUCUGCAUAGGUUUUACUUCCAUGGCUUUUUUUUUUUUUUUUUUUUUUUUGUAGUUAAGGCCACAAAACACUUGUGUGAAAUU